CACAACCAAAUAAUUAAACUUUUCUCCUUUUUCCAUGGAGAAUGCCAACGAUACAUUUUCUUUCCCUUUUCCUUUUGGACUCGCUUGAGUUGCUUCUAAAUAUGCCUAUGAGUAUGAGUGGCUUGUGUCAAUCCCUCGCAGAUUUCAGUUCGGUGAAGUUGACAGAUAUUGGUGGAGCAGAAGUUACGAAAACGAUGUUACAGAAGUAGGUUAGGGCAUGGAUGAGAGAUGAAGGUGUGUUGCAGUAAAGUGUUUGACAGGAGUGGUGGUGGAGAUUGGUGAAGUGAAGAUGUGCAACCAAAUGGGGUCACUCUUACUUAAGGUUCAUUAAUCCACAGCUUUGUAAGGCAGCUGAAGAAGUAGAUCUUGCUUUAAUGUGCAUCAGCAUGUUAGUUAAAUUGAGAAACCCAUGUUAGUGGUAGUGCAUGAGAUUGGUAAGUUUUGGUGGUCUUGUUUUCAUCUAUAAAUGAAAGAGGAAAAAAAUAUUUUGGUUUUCUUUGUUAGAUUUUGAAAAUUUGUUUAUUAUAGGUUGCAGCUUGCAUGCAUGUGAGUGAGGGUGCUUAGAGAGAGGAAUGAUUCAGUUUGCCACACCUGCACCUUUGUCUUCUUGCGCAGCCUAUUACAAUUCUGCAUGAUGUCAGCUACAGCGCCUAACAGGCUGCAUUAAAUCAUAUUCUUGCUCCAACUCCAAACACAAACCACAUCUUUUGUAUAUCAUGAUCCAAGUUGAGAUAUUAUAGAAAUAAAUAUAUGUCUUUUGCCAUUCGUUUUAAUUUAUUUCUUUUUUCUUUAGAAAGUUUUAUAUGAUGGGGAGCUUUUAGUUUGGGCCCAUGUGGUUAUUUCUUCAGUUUAAAUCAUAUAUAAAUUGUCAAGAUCAUGUUACGUAUUUGCUUUUAUUUUCAGACAAAUAUAUAGUAC
rnacentral:lncRNA from 1 species